rnacentral:rRNA from 1 species
UACAGAGGUCUCAAGCGUUGUUCGGAUUCAUUGGGCGUAAAGGGUGCGUAGGCGGCGCGGUAAGUCGGGUGUGAAAUUUCGAGGCUUAACUUCGAAACUGCAUUCGAUACUGCCGUGCUUGAGGACUGGAGAGGAGACUGGAAUUUACGGUGUAGCGGUGAAAUGCGUAGAUAUCGAGAGGAACACCAGUGGCGAAGGCGAGUCCCCUGGACAAUACCUGACACUGAGGCACGAAAGCUAGGGGAGCAAACAGG